rnacentral:rRNA from 1 species
UGGUGGGUAGUUUGACUGGGGCGGUCUCCUCCUAAAGAGUAACGGAGGAGCACGAAGGUUGGCUAAUCCUGGUCGGACAUCAGGAGGUUAGUGCAAUGGCAUAAGCCAGCUUGACUGCGAGCGUGACGGCGCGAGCAGGUGCGAAAGCAGGUCAUAGUGAUCCGGUGGUUCUGAAUGGAAGGGCCAUCGCUCAACGGAUAAAAGGUACUCCGGGGAUAACAGGCUGAUACCGCCCAAGAGUUCAUAUCGACGGCGGUGUUUGGCACCUCGAUGUCGGCUCAUCACAUCCUGGGGCUGAAGUAGGUCCCAAGGGUAUGGCUGUUCGCCAUUUAAAGUGGUACGCGAGCUGGGUUUAGAACGUCGUGAGACAGUUCGGUCCCUAUCUGCCGUGGGCGCUGGAGAACUGAGGGGGGCUGCUCCUAGUACGAGAGGACCGGAGUGGACGCAUCACUGGUGUUCGGGUUGUCAUGCCAAUGGCACUGCCCGGUAGCUAAAUGCGGAAGAGAUAAGUGCUGAAAGCAUCUAAGCACGAAACUUGCCCCGAGAUGAGUUCUCCCUGACUCCUUGAGAGUCCUGAAGGAACGUUGAAGACGACGACGUUGAUAGGCCGGGUGUGUAAGCGCAGCGAUGCGUUGAGCUAACCGGUACUAAUG